rnacentral:rRNA from 1 species
AGAGUUUGAUCCUGGCUCAGAUUGAACGCUGGCGGCAGGCCUAACACAUGCAAGUCGAGCGGUAGCACAGAGAGCUUGCUCUCGGGUGACGAGCGGCGGACGGGUGAGUAAUGUCUGGGAAACUGCCUGAUGGAGGGGGAUAACUACUGGAAACGGUAGCUAAUACCGCAUAAUGUCGCAAGACCAAAGAGGGGGACCUUCGGGCCUCUUGCCAUCAGAUGUGCCCAGAUGGGAUUAGCUAGUAGGUGGGGUAACGGCUCACCUAGGCGACGAUCCCUAGCUGGUCUGAGAGGAUGACCAGCCACACUGGAACUGAGACACGGUCCAGACUCCUACGGGAGGCAGCAGUGGGGAAUAUUGCACAAUGGGCGCAAGCCUGAUGCAGCCAUGCCGCGUGUAUGAAGAAGGCCUUCGGGUUGUAAAGUACUUUCAGCGGGGAGGAAGGUGUUGAGGUUAAUAACCUCAGCAAUUGACGUUACCCGCAGAAGAAGCACCGGCUAACUCCGUGCCAGCAGCCGCGGUAAUACGGAGGGUGCAAGCGUUAAUCGGAAUUACUGGGCGUAAAGCGCACGCAGGCGGUCUGUCAAGUCGGAUGUGAAAUCCCCGGGCUCAACCUGGGAACUGCAUCCGAAACUGGCAGGCUUGAGUCUUGUAGAGGGGGGUAGAAUUCCAGGUGUAGCGGUGAAAUGCGUANANNUCUGGAGGAAUACCGGUGGCGGAAGGCGGCCNCC